rnacentral:tRNA from 1 species
GCAUGAUCGGUCUUCAAACCCAGUUGGUGCGGUCAGCCCGCGCCAGGUCGGUUCGACUCCGGCUGCCUUCCGCCA